GAGUAGCUGGGACUACAGUCACGUACCACCAGUUGAAAAAGAUCAUCUAGCAAAGCCUUUUUUCCCAGCUACAUAUAAGGAAUUUGAAAGUCGCAUAAAAUGGUUAAGAAAAUGUGCCAAGAUUACCUCAGUAAUUCUGGUCUGUGUUCUCAGGAGACCCUGGAAAUAAACAAUGUGUCUUCUGUGGCUUCAGCGUCACCUAGUGCAGGCUGCCAUUCAACAAACGCAUUGUCAACAGUCAACCAAAAGAAACCCAUUGGCCACCAUACCCUGAGGACUAACCCUGACACAGAUGCCCUUCCAGAUGCCCUCAGUAGUCUAACUGAUUCCAUCGCCCCAGCCUUGGGGGAGAAGCACUGCUGCCUAUGCACUCCAUUUACAGGUGAACUGUCACCCCUACAACUCAGCUUGCAACCAGCCCUGGCCACCACCAGUUUCCCCACACUGAGCUGAAUAUUGGACAUGCCCAUCUUAGACAUUCCAGCCCAUUCUGAAAUUCCACAUCGAUUCACCCGACAAAGUCUGAAGUUCCAGGGCAAUUUAUCUGGAAAAGCUCACCUGGAAUCAUGUGUCAUUUCAACCAACAACUGUCGAAGAGGACGUGGCAUCAAAACCAAGGAAAGCAACUAGAAGCCAUUUGUGUCAAGGUAACGUCUGGAGAAACAAAAGGUCAGGAACGGCCAACGUCCCUACUGGCCACAGUCUAGCCCCAAUCUGCAAGACAGAGCCAGCCGCCCCGGGGGAAUUCCCGCCUGGUGGGACUCCACGUCACCAGCCCCCAGCUGCUCAGGGUACAGCCCCUCGUGAGAACCGAGCCACAGUCAUGUUUCCUACAUCAGCCUCCUGCUCAGGGGUUUGUACAGAGACCACUGCCAGCCCUCUAGGUGGUCCCUGCAAAGAAAGUCCCAGCUCCCAAGGCUCCAAAUGGACAGGGCACCAUGUUGACCCCUUCGUUGGCCUCCAGUUCGCCGACUGUAACAUGUUUCAUCCAGUUCAGGACGUUUAUUUAUUUCCAACUUGCAUACAAAACAUACUGAGAAACUAAAACCAUCGUUAAAAGUGAAGACACGUUGAGACAGGUAUCUCGACCUGCCAAGUAUACAGCUAAAGCUGAGUUCAUAAAAAGGGAUGAUUUGGCCGACGGUCAUCUGCCAGAUUCUGAUGAUGAUUCAGAAGUCAGUGUGGAAGAAGAUCAGAGGGAGAGGCAGGCGCUCUUUGACUUAUCAAGCUGCUCCCUGAGGCCCAAAAGCUUCAAGUGUCAGACUUGUAAAAAGUCAUAUAUAGGGAAGUGGGGACUGGCCCAGCAUUUUAAACUUAAUCCAGGCCAUGGCCAGCUGGACCCUGAGAUGGUGCUAUCUGAGAAAGCCAAUGGGAGCACCCUCCGGGGGUGCACAGAGGAAAGGACGCUCAGCCUGACCUUCCCGAGGCUGUCCGUGCCAGCGGCUCCGCGUGAGGGAGGGGCCCGCUCCUGCUUGUCUCACUCUGUCGCCCAGGCUGGAGUACAGUGGAGCAGUCUGAGUUCACUACAACCUCCACCUCCCAGGUUCAAGUGAUUCUCCUGCCUCAACCUCCCGACUACUCAGGAGGCUGAGGCAGGAAAAUCGCUUGAACCCAGGAAGUGGAGGUUGCAGUGAGCCAAGAUCAUACCACUGCACUCCAGCCUGGGCGACAGAGGGAGACUCCGUCUCAAAAAGAAAAAAAGCAAUAAAUGCUCUUCCAGAAAACUCAAAAAUGAAGAUAAGCUAAAAGAAAAUGGAAAGCACCAGAAUACCAGAAUCUUUCCACUCACUGAUGAUCAGAGUUAAUACCUCAGUGUCUUCUGUGGCUUCAGCGUCACCUAGUGCAGGCUGCCAUUCAACAAACGCAUUGUCAACAGUCAACCAAAAGAAACCCAUUGGCCACCAUACCCUGAGGACUAACCCUGACACAGAUGCCCUUCCAGAUGCCCUCAGUAGUCUAACUGAUUCCAUCGCCCCAGCCUUGGGGGAGAAGCACUGCUGCCUAUGCACUCCAUUUACAGGUGAACUGUCACCCCUACAACUCAGCUUGCAACCAGCCCUGGCCACCACCAGUUUCCCCACACUGAGCUGAAUAUUGGACAUGCCCAUCUUAGACAUUCCAGCCCAUUCUGAAAUUCCACAUCGAUUCACCCGACAAAGUCUGAAGUUCCAGGGCAAUUUAUCUGGAAAAGCUCACCUGGAAUCAUGUGUCAUUUCAACCAACAACUGUUGAAGAGGACGUGGCAUCAAAACCAAGCCAUCCUAGUGGGUGUGAAGUGGUACAGCUUUUAUUUAACACUGAAGGACACAGCACAGCAAGAGAGAGAAAAAGUGUGUGCGCAGGCCAGCAUUGGGAUACAGAGAGACCCUUGUGCAAGAUCCCAGGAGACCAGAAGUCUGAAAUCAAGGUGCGGUCCGAGCCACACUCCCUCUGAAGGCUCAGCCUGGCCAACAUGGUGAAACCCCAUCUCUACUAAACAUACAAAAUUUAUCUGGGCAUGGUGGUGCGCACCUGUAGUCCAAGCUACUUGGGAGACUGAGACAGGAGAAUCACUUGAACCCAGGAGGCAGAGGUUGCAGGGAACAGAUAUCGUGCCACUGCACUCCAGCCUGGAUGACUGAGCAAGACUCCAUCUCAAAAACAAAAACAAAAACAAAUACAAAAACAAAA
rnacentral:lncRNA from 1 species